rnacentral:lncRNA from 1 species
GAUCCUCAGAAAGACAUAUGAGGGUUUUCCUCAGAACCUAAAUUCUCAUAGCAACAGCAGCGUAGCUGAACAUCUUACGGAUGGCCCAGGGCUCCAAAGGCUCGUUUCCUAAGUGAGAGAGAGCCUGGCUGAAGCUGUAUUACCAUUCAUUCUCCAGCCUCCGAAGUCUCAAAGCAUCACUUCCACCAUACUCUAACUGUCAAGACAAACACAAAGGCCCAGAAACUGCCAGACUGUCUUCUGAAGUGGCUAUAAUAUUUACACUCCCAUCAGCAGUGUAGAAGGGGUCUCACUAUGUUGUCUGGAGUGCUGUGGUGGAGUGGAGUGGCUAUUCACAGCUGAGUUUGCAGAGUAAACCACUACCCUGAAAUCUGGAAAGGCAGGUGCACCCACAGAUCCUCAGCUGAGAUCCAAUUACCUGAAAUAGAAGCUGCCAUUAGGAACACUUAAAAGAGCCUGUUCUGCUGGGACACAGAAUCACUUGCUCCAUCUCAUACAUUGAUGAUGAUUAAUUUGUAUGUGUACCUUCCAAAAAAGAUGGUUGUGUUUGAAUGGAGGCCUUCUGGACAGGAAAAUUGCAAAGUACAAUUAACAUUUGAGUCUGUCUGAGUCAUGAAGAAAUGGAGAUUACUGAAAAUAAUUCAUUUUGGUAUCUUCUUACAUCCUGAGAGACUAAUCUUUCCAAGUUCAUCUGAGGCUCCUCUUCUCCAUGACAACCUCAUCCAGGGAUUUCUUCCUGUCCUGGUGUUUUAUGACAUAAUCACAUCCUUCCUGAGAUAAUGAGCACACAAUUGCCUGGAUACCUGAAGGAAUGGAGACAGCGGCAGAAAACACUGCAGAGAGGUGGAAACAUCCGUUAAUAUUUUAAAAUCCCAUUACUGCUACCAACAAUAAUAAUGGAUGCAUAGAAAUAGAUCUGGAUUAGCUGAGCUUGAAACAGUCCAUCUCACACACACACAAAAGAAUUUCAGGUAAUGAAGAAAAGAAAAGGAAAAAAAUAA